rnacentral:lncRNA from 1 species
CUCAGCCCUGGUCUUGAGAGAUCAUGGUUUGUAUCUGUGCUAGCUGAAAUGGCCUUAACUCGAUGAUGGACCAGAUCACACUGGGAGUGGGGACCUGGCCUUCAGCUUGGGCCAAAGGUGCAAUAGAAGAAUGCCUUUCAGCAACAUGGCAAACUACUCUUGAGUGCAGGAAAGCCCAAGAUUCUCCUGUGAAGUCCUUGGCGUCUCUUCAGGAACAGCAACAAGAUACCUUCCCCUGAGUGCAGCCAUCUCUGGCUUUCCAUGCUGUCCUGCACCCUGUAUCAGGCACCAUCUGCUUGAUGCCACAUCUCUCAAUGAGGCCCUGCUACACAGAGGCAUCUGGCUGUGGCACAAACAGGUCAGCCAGCUCUGCCUGGUUCUUGAGGAGAGCUUGUGGUGUGGGGCCAGAUCCGGCAGGAAGUUAAGGCUUGGCGUAGCACAGGGAGAGGUUCUGGCUGAGCACCGGUGUGCUGUGAUGUUGAAGGCUGAUUGCGAAACCAAGAGGUAGGAGGGGACUGAGGGAAGUAACUCAUAAAGUCAUGAUCCAAGGAGACAUUUGAGGUCAAGAUCUAGGUGUAAAUGAUUAGAAAUGAAGUGGGGAAGAGAAAUGUGAAAAACAGAGCACACAGCUGUGUUUAAAGAGGAGUAGAGGAUGAGGAAAGAAUAGGUAGCUUUGGGGACCUGAGGGCAAUGCUGAUUGCAUGGGCAGCACCUCCUCCAUAAAUCUUAGCACAGCUGCAAACCAGCAGAUGUUUUGG